CAAAAAGGGAGAAGGAAGCGGAGAGUAAAGAUAGCUCUUUGGUUAUGGCGUUAAUCUUACGUGGAACGAAAGUGGAUUAUAGUUAAUGUCAAUCUAAUUGCGUAAUUCGAAUCGAUAUGACGAUAAUAUCGAAGAAGAAGGCAAUCUCUUGCCGCGUGAAAUAGCAAACCGAUACUUUCGUUCAUGCGGUUCUUGCACGCGUUUCCGCCACGUUGUAGCGGAACACAAUGUGAUGGAAACACGCUACUAUUAGGUCAUUCCAUAAGUUUGUGCCGUUUUUCGAGCGGUUAUAUAUGUUAAAUAUUAGGUCAUCCCAUAAGUUCGUGCCGUUUUUCGAGCGGUUAUAUAUGUUAUCUUUUUUAAACACCUAUGAAUC